GCUAAUGCAGCAUCAUCAAGAUUCUCAAUCAAAAUCAUCUUCCAAACAAAUCAAUCCCACAAAAACAAAAUUUUAAAAAACAAAUAAUUAGGGUUUCCUUUCUUUUUUCUUUAUUUAUUUCUUAUUUUGUUGUGAAUCUUGAUGAUGCCGCACAAGCAAAUUA